CAUUGUCCCUACUGAUCAGGUUGAAGUCAGGGGAAACCCUGAUGGAGGACCGAAGCAGUUCUGACAUGCAAAUCGAUUGUCAGAAUUGGUCAUAGGGGCGAAAGACCAAUCGAACCAUCUAGUAG
rnacentral:ncRNA from 1 species